CCAGAGAACUUAGCAGAGAUGCUUUGGUGCCUUCGGGAACUCUGAGACAGGUGCUGCAUGGCUGUCGUCAGCUCGUGUUGUGAAAUGUCGGGUUAAGUCCCGCAACGAGCGCAACCCUUAUCCUUUGUUGCCAGCGGCUCGGCCGGGAACUCAAAGGAGACUGCCGGUGAUAAACCGGAGGAAGGUGGGGAUGACGUCAAGUCAUCAUGGCCCUUACGGCCAGGGCUACACACGUGCUACAAUGGCGCAUACAAAGAGAAGCGACCUCGCGAGAGCAAGCGGACCUCAUAAAGUGCGUCGUAGUCCGGAUUGGAGUCUGCAACUCGACUCCAUGAAGUCGGAAUCGCUAGUAAUCGUAGAUCAGAAUGCUACGGUGAAUACGUUCCCGGGCCUUGUACACACCGCCCGUCACACCAUGGGAGUGGGUUGCAAAAGAAGUAGGUAGCUUAACCUUCGGGAGGGCGCUCACCACUUUGUGAUUCAUGACUGGGGUGAAGUCGUAACAAGGUAGGCGUACUACA
rnacentral:rRNA from 1 species